GCUGGUUCUCGAGAAAAGAAUUUUAGUCCAACCUAAAGUAACCCCAGUCAACAUAAAUCACCCGCCUUACUUUAGAGCAAUUCAAAUGAGGUACAGCCCAUUUGACAUAGGAUACAACCUUCACUAAAGGGUAAUGUUUUACAAUCAUUUUUAAGUAGGCCUAAAAACAGCCAUCUUUUAAAAAGCGUCAAAGCUUAGCUCUGUUAGCACUAAUUCUACAACCCCUACAGACCCCUUAAACAGUAUCGAGAACUUCUAUAACCUUAUAGAACCUCUUAUGCUAAAACUAGUAACAAGAGACAAACUCUCUCUCUUAAUGUAAACAUAGGCCAGAAAGAACCCAUCACUGACAAUUAACAGAUCUCUAUAAGUGUAGCAACUCCCCAAGAAAACCCUACUUUACCCCCACUGUUAACCUAACACCAGAACAUUACAAGAAAGAUUAAAAGAAAGAGAAGGAACUCGGCAAACUUUAGUCCCGCCUGUUUACCAAAAACAUCGCCUCUUGACCCCCACCAUAAGAGGUCCAGCCUGCCCAGUGACUCUGUUUAACGGCCGCGGUAUCCUAACCGUGCAAAGGUAGCGCAAUCACUUGUCUUCUAAAUAAAGACUAGUAUGAAAGGCAUUACGAAGACUAAACUGUCUCCUCUUUUUAAUCAGUGAACUUAAUCUCCCCGUGAAGAAGCGGGGAUUCCCACAUAAGACGAGAAGACCCUAUGGAGCUUUAAACACUAUAACACCUGCCAUCUCCCACUCCAACUCAGGUAUAUCACCUAACGGCAUCCUGAUUAUAUGUUUUUGGUUGGGGUGACCGCGGAGAAAAAAUUAUCCUCCACAAUGAACGGGGGCAACCCCUAAACAACAAGCUACAACUUUAUGUAUUAACAAAUUAACAUCCUUUGACCCAAUUACUAUUGAUUAACGAACCAAGUUACCCUAGGGAUAACAGCGCAAUCCACUUCAAGAGCCCUUAUCGACAAGUGGGCUUACGACCUCGAUGUUGGAUCGGGGUAUCCAAGUGGUGCAGCCGCUACUAAAGGUUCGUUUGUUCAACGAUUAAAACCCCACGUGAUCUGAGUUCAGACCGGAGCAAUCCAGGUCAGUUUCUAUCUAUGAAGAGCUACUUUUAGUACGAAAGGACCAAAAUAGCACGGCCAAUGCCCACUUUCAAGCCGUAAUUAAUCACUUCAAGCCUUCUACUCAAAAAAUUAUUAAUCUCCCACACCCCCUC
rnacentral:rRNA from 1 species